GAAAAACUUCCAAGAAGAGGCUUGCAUUGAGGAAGAAGGAAAAGGACAUAAAACCACAAGACUGCCUGUGGACAGAAGAGCUUCCUGGCCCUGGUUCGGGUCCUUCGUUUCCAAAGAAUCCUCGAACUGCUGGUGGUGAAAAUGCUGAACACAGGCAACACCAGAGUUGGAGCAACAGCAGAUUUUUACCUGCUUCCUGUGCUCACACUACCAGGGAGAAUCUGGGGGUGUGGGGGGUGCUUAUGAAGACAGGAGUGUGCAGGGAUCGGAGGAAAGCUGUGCCACCGGCUGAAGAGAGAACAGGCCACAAGCGACCAGGUGGUCCUAAAAACCACAAGAAGCAGCCUUCAAUGUAGGUACAGUGGUAACUCUUAGGAAAGAGAGGAUUUCUAAUUUGUCUUGUUCUCCUGUUUAGUGAUAACGGGGUAAAUAAGGAAGAUUAAAUUAUGUGUCAUUAUGACUACACCAUGUUUAAUAAAGUUGAAAUUGAGAGAACAUCUUUGUAGAACAGAAUUCUAAGUCUCACCCACUCAUGGUGUGUCAUGAAGCAAAACUGAAUGAAUCCCUUUGGAGAGCCAACACAUAAAGCUACCUACCAGGUCACAGUUGUUUACCAGCCAGACUUCUGUUUGACUGACUUACAGUAAACAAAAGCACAUCACCCAUCUUCAUGCAGAAUAGUCACCAGUGCAGCAAAAUGUAAUAAUUACAGCUUAAGCACUUGCAGUGACUGGACUUUAAGGUGACAGCACUGAUGGUUAUGCCCUUCAUCAGUGUCCAUCACUCCCCAGCCACUCUCCCAACCCAGAGGCUGGCUGCCUGCCCUCUGAAGCAUUAAGCUUUGCAGCUGAUGGACUUGUCUUUAUGUCCUUAAACCUUUCAGAACAGACAAUCACCUGCUUUCUGGAAAGGAAACAGGUACAGGCAUCGCUCGGAGACAUUGCAGGUUCAGUUCCAGAACACCACAAUGAAGGGACCAUCGUAAUAAAGUGAGUCACAUGAUUCUCUGGUGUCCCAGGGCACAGAGAAGUUAUGUUUACACUCUACCGUAGCCUAUCAAGUGUGCACUAGCAUUGUUUCUUAAAAAAACAAUGUGUAGACUUUAACGUAAAAAUAAUUUAUUGCUAAAAAAUGGUAGCCAUCAUCGGAGUCUCCUGCAAGCAUCACUGGAUCCUGUGGUGUCUCCUGACAGUGGUUACUUAGCAUUAAUAAGAUCACUGAAAUCAACUCAUUGUCACAGGCUAGGGGUUAACCUUAAAAUACUUUGCAUUCCUGUGGGAUUAUAUGCAGCCAAAGGUUUUUCCUUUCAGGGAUGAUUUCCUUAUCAUUUUAUAAAGCCACACCCUAACAUAUAUUGAAACUCAGCAAAAACAGAGGGAAAGAACAAAGAAAGAGAGAAGAUUAAAAAAGAAAGAGUAAAGGAAUAAAGGGAGGAAGGAAGGAAAUAGAGCUAAGGAAGGAAAUGUUAAAUCACUAAAGAACAAAGCGCCAAUCACAACAGGAAGAAAGACACUAGACAGACACCCACAGACCAAGCCUGGAGCCUGCUGUGUGUGCAGAGUCCAGAUCUGCUGUGUAAGACACUUGCUGGGUGUUUCUCUACAGGCUCUCAGCUCCCCAUCUCCCUUCUUUCUACCCUCUCACCUGUGAUGCAGAGGCUGGGUCUCUCAAAUCUCAUUUCAGAGGCUCUGUGACCUGCUCCCCUUUGGGAGGUUCUGCCACUAGGGGGCACUAGAGGGAGACUGAGGGUGGGACUCAGAGCUAAUGGUCUACCUGGUCUCUGCUCCUCCUGCAGCAUCACCCCAGCAGUGAUGACUGCUCCCAGCUCCCAGCUCUCUCAGCACAUGGAGAACCUGCCUCCUCGGGCUCCCUCACAGACAUGACCAGCAGCUGGACGGUGACUUGGAGGAUUGAGCGCCGACUCUUUAGAGCCUCUCCUCUCGGUUCUUAGGUCUGGACGUCUGUCCUAGGACAUGGGAGUUGGUUCCUAAAAUUCUUAUCCCAGUGUUUCCUUUCAUUUUUCUAUCCCUCAAAGUCCUAUGUAACAAAUUUCCUAUAUUAAAUCCCUUCUGUUGAACUACUUUGUUUUUCUCACUAGGCCAUUUCUUCUCAUGGACUCCCCUCUGACAGCAACAGCUGAGAAAUUCUGGAACCCUAGCCAACCUCCUCGGGGCAGUCUCAAUGAGAGGCUAAUUUUCUGGAUCAAGGAAAUCCAAAAAAGCUGAAACAGCUGUGACACAGUGACAGUGACUAUGUCCCACCAUCUGAAAUAUGAAGCCAAACAUGGAUUUUGAAUAUUUUCAUGGUUAACCAUCUUUCAAAAAUGACAAUGCAAAUAAAUUUUUAAUAUGAAAUUAUUCAAAAGCACCUUCAGAAAGCAGAGUUAAGUACCUGAGUUAAUGUCAGGAAUCAGAGGAGAAAUUAAGAGAAAAUUAAAUUAUUUGGAGGUUUCUAUCAAGGUUUACAAGGAAGGAUGAGUUAAAAAAUUGAACAUAAACGGAAACAACUGAAAUUCCACAGACGAGGCUCUUACCAUCACCUGUUCGCUGUCAAUAACGGUGCUCAACCUGUUUGUGAUGGUUAACACAGUGCACUGGGCAAAUUUCUCACGGACUUUCUUCUUAAUUACCUCAUCGGUUCUGAAUGAAAGAAGGUGAUUUAGUUCAGUAAAGAUAUGAAAAGCAGACAGAGUUUAAAAAUCAUAUGAUAUUUUCAUACUGUGUUUAAAAAAUUAAUACUGUAAGACAAUCUUGUUCCUGAAAAACUAUUAAAACUUUCCUUAGAAAUUUAUUAUUUUUCAUCAAACAGUGGGAAAUAGUCUUCCCUUGAAAUUACUUGAAAUGCUCAGGAGCGAAAUUUAGAAAUCUAGCUCUCCUAGGAUACUUCAUAACAACAUGAAUAAUACAUAACACAUUUUGGUGUCUUCUUCUGUUUUCUAGGAUAAAUGAUAACAAGAGCUACCUUUUGGGUGGAGAGAAUUAGAAACAUUUCUCAGCAUCACAAAAUAUUUCCCAUUUACUACAUUUAAUGUUUGGAUUCCAGGUUUCAUGGAUCCCAGCUCCUACCUUGGAUCUACAUUGGAUGUGGCUUUGUCAAUAAUCAAUAUCUGAUUUUUCCUGAGAAUAGCCCUGGCAAAGGACACCAGUUGUCUCUGUCCAGCACUCAAGUUCGAUCCAGAUUCUGCUAAUUCAGUAUUCAGUUUCCCAGGGAGACCUUCAAUGGCUUCUUUAAGCUGAACCUGUGGAUACAGAAAGAAUGACAUUUUCCUCAACAAACUGCUACUGAAGUAGACAAGCCUCUUAGACAUUCACGCUCUGAGGGCCUCAGGACUUCCUACGUAUCUUACAUGUGCAGCCAGGUGAUGGGGGGAGCUCCUGCCAGUGAGCGAUCACUGAGAAAGAUGCUAGAGUCAAUAUAGGACAGAAAGAAAUCCUAGAGAAACACAAUGAUGGAGUGAUUUCUCAUUUGAAAAGACAUCACUAAAGUGAUAGGGUCAAUUCCAGAAGCAUACAUAGAAACCACACACUUUGUGAAAUAAACCCAUGUUUAUUUUUAUUAUCAUAAAGUUUCAAAUGCAGUUUAAAAAGGCAGUAUUAUCCUCUACCACUUCCACGACCUCAUCAUUAUUAGAAUUCAGAGGAUACUAAAUGUAAUUUUGGCUGCAACAGAUGAGUUAAUUAUAAGUUUAGGCCAAUUUCUAUGGUAGUUUUUUUUUUUUUCCUUUUUAGUAUAGCACCUACAGGAAAUAGAAGUUCUUAGGCUGGGGCCGAAUCAGAAGUACAGCUGGGGGUCUACACCACAGCCACAGCAACAUCAUAGCUGAGCUGCAUCUGUGACCUUUGCUGCAGCUUGUGUCAAUGCCAGAUCCUUAACCAACUGAGUGAGGCCAGGGAUGGAACCUCCAUCCUCACAGAGACAAUGUCCAGUUUGUAACCUGCUGAGCCACAACGGGAACUCCAAGACAGUUUUUAACAGGAUUUGUCUCCUAAUUAACAUAACCUCUCUGUCCGCGGAAAACUAUAUUAUAAAACUCUAGAGUAAUUUUACUACCUAAGAAUCUGAGAAGAGAAAUCUCAAGCUGGGAGACAAACAGAAAAAUGAUUUACUAGGAGUUCCCGCUGUGGCUCAGCAGGUAAUGAAUCCGACUAGUAUCCAUUAGGAUUCGGGUUCAAUCCCUGGCCCUGCCCAGUGGGUUAAAGAUAAGACGUUGCCUGAGCUGUGGUGUAGGUUGCAGAGGUGGCUAGGAUCUGGCAUUGCUGUGGCUGUGGUGUAAGCUGGCAGCUAUAGUUCAGAUU
rnacentral:lncRNA from 1 species